GAUCUGAUUGAAUCUCUAAAUCAAACUAAAGCAAGUAGUGCCCUCAUCCAGGAAUCUCUUGUUGAGUUUUAUAGACUUCAGAUUUCCCUUGAUCAGGAAAGGGAUGCAUAUCUCACUCUGGCUGAAAGUGGAAGCAAGAUGUAUUUUAUUAUUUCUGACUUGUCCAAAAUUAAUAACAUGUAUCGUUUUAGUCUGGCUUCUUUCCUAAGACUUUUUCAAAGGGCUCUACAAAGUGAACUGGACUUGGGAAAUACUGAGGAAAGAAUAAAGUCUCUUAUCA
rnacentral:lncRNA from 1 species